ACAGAGGUGGCAAGCGUUGUUCGGAAUUACUGGGCGUAAAGGGCGCGUAGGCGGUUUCGUAAGUCCCGUGUGAAAGCCCCCGGCUCAACUGGGGAACGGCACGGGAAACUGCGAGGCUUGAGUUCGGGAGAGGGAAGCGGAAUUCCGGGUGUAGCGGUGAAAUGCGUAGAUAUCCGGAGGAACACCAGUGGCGAAGGCGGCUUCCUGGACCGAUACUGACGCUGAGGCGCGAAAGCUAGGGGAGCAAACGGGA
rnacentral:rRNA from 1 species